CUUCCCAGAACUUAAGAAUGAAGGGGAAAAAGAAAAGGGGCUGGUGCUCGAGUAGCACUUGGCUUCCUCUUUUGUCAAAACAUGAAAUUCUCGUGAAGCCCCUAUGAAGUCAACAAGAGGAAGUCGGCCACUAUAAGAACCAGCGAUCACUUCCGAGCUUCAACAUCUCCACCUGCUCGCUGAGUCGUCAUGGACCGACGUCUGCUGCUGGUCCUGCUGUCCCUGCAGGUUCUCCUGCUCAUCACCAGCUCCAGCCCCGCGGAGGCCGUCGCUCUGAGGAACAGGAGGGACACCACUCCGACCGAGCCUCCACAGUACCUGGACCGUUAUUACUUAGCUGGAGCGUACAGCUUCUUCUCCGUGCGCAAUCGACAGGUCCCGCUCUGAGCCGUCUCCACCUUUGUCAAAGGCGACGUUGCUUCUUCCAAACAAAUGUGCUCUCAUUGAAAUCAAUAAACAUCUCUGCA